rnacentral:rRNA from 1 species
AUUGAACGCUGGCGGCACGCCUAACACAUGCAAGUCGAGCGGCAGCGAGACUAGUAGCAAUACUAGUUGUCGGCGAGCGGCGGACGGGUGAGUAACACGUAGGAAUCUGCCCUUAAGCGGGGGAUAACCAAGGGAAACUUUGGCUAAUACCGCAUAAUCUCGAGAGAGCAAAGCUGCCCGCAAGGGUGGCACUUGAGGAGGAGCCUGCGUCCGAUUAGCUAGGUGGUGGGGUAAUGGCCUACCAAGGCGAUGAUCGGUAACUGGUCUGAGAGGACGACAAGUCACGCUGGGACUGAGACACGGCCCAGACUCCUACGGGAGGCAGCAGUGGGGAAUAUUGGACAAUGGGGGCAACCCUGAUCCAGCGAUGCCGCGUGAGUGAAGAAGGCCUUCGGGUCGUAAAGCUCUUUAGGUUGGGAAGAAGGGUAUUGGCUGAAUAAUCCAGUACUUUGACGGUACCGACAGAAUAAGCACCGGCAAACUCUGUGCCAGCCGCCGCCGUAAAAC